UACAGAGGGUGCAAGCGUUAAUCGGAAUUACUGGGCGUAAAGCGCGCGUAGGUGGUUCGUUAAGUUGGAUGUGAAAUCCCCGGGCUCAACCUGGGAACUGCAUUCAAAACUGUCGAGCUAGAGUAUGGUAGAGGGUGGUGGAAUUUCCUGUGUAGCGGUGAAAUGCGUAGAUAUAGGAAGGAACACCAGUGGCGAAGGCGACCACCUGGACUGAUACUGACACUGAGGUGCGAAAGCGUGGGGAGCAAACAG
rnacentral:rRNA from 1 species